GGCGACGAUCCCUAGCUGGUCUGAGAGGAUGACCAGCCACACUGGAACUGAGACACGGUCCAGACUCCUACGGGAGGCAGCAGUGGGGAAUAUUGCACAAUGGGCGCAAGCCUGAUGCAGCCAUGCCGCGUGUGUGAAGAAGGCCUUCGGGUUGUAAAGCACUUUCAGCGAGGAGGAAGGGGGUGGUGUUAAUAUCACCAUUCAUUGACGUUACUCGCAGAAGAAGCACCGGCUAACUCCGUGCCAGCAGCCGCGGUAAUACGGAGGGUGCAAGCGUUAAUCGGAAUUACUGGGCGUAAAGCGCACGCAGGCGGUUUGUUAAGUCAGAUGUGAAAUCCCCGAGCUUAACUUGGGAACUGCAUUUGAAACUGGCAAGCUAGAGUCUUGUAGAGGGGGGUAGAAUUCCAGGUGUAGCGGUGA
rnacentral:rRNA from 6 species